rnacentral:tRNA from 1 species
GCUAGCGUAGCUUAAUCAAAGCAUGACGCUGAAGAUGUUAAGAUGAGCCCUAGAAAGCUCCGCAAGCA